rnacentral:rRNA from 1 species
GACGAACGCUGGCGGCGUGCUUAACACAUGCAAGUCGAACGGAAAGGCCCUGCUUUUGUGGGGUGCUCGAGUGGCGAACGGGUGAGUAACACGUGAGUAACCUGCCCUUGACUUUGGGAUAACUUCAGGAAACUGGGGCUAAUACCGGAUAGGAGCUCCUGCUGCAUGGUGGGGGUUGGAAAGUUUCGGCGGUUGGGGAUGGACUCGCGGCUUAUCAGCUUGUUGGUGGGGUACGGGCUUACCAAGGCCUUGCCGGGUCGCCGGCCCGAGGGGGUGACCGGCCACAUUGGGACUGAGGUACGGCCCAGACUCCUACGGGAGGCAGCAGGGGGGAAUAUUGCACAAUGGGCGGAAGCCUGAUGCAGCAACGCCGCGUGCGGGAUGACGGCCUUCGGGUUGUAAACCGCUUUCGCCUGUGACGAAGCGUGAGUGACGGUAAUGGGUAAAGAGGCACCGGCUAACUACGUG